AUAGAUAAAUAAGGUUGGAAUGGUAAUGUAGGCGGGGCAAGCGUGCCACAGUUAUGAUAGAACAAACAUAACUCGACCGAUUCUUUCAUUCACCGCGUUUAGUGCGCUUCGGACUACUUGGCGAACAGAUCUCCGCUUUAUAGUGCCGUGUUGUGCAAUUAUAACUUGUAAAACAAAAAAUCAGACAUCAAGUAUAGAGCGAGGAGGUAUAUCUUUCGAUCGGAAUGCAAAAGCUGUCAGUUACUGGUCUGCAUUAUCUUCCUGCAGAAGAAGGCGUGGUGUCCUGAAGAUACGACUCCACUUCCGCAGUGGGUGGUCGGCAGGUACUUGUCCAGCGUCUCGGCGUCGUAUAAGGCCGGCUCCAAGCACAUUGUAUUGUUCGCGCUGCUGCAUUCGUAGCAACGGAUCGAUGUUACUGACAAUCACAGAUAAUUUAAUUUUAAAAAAGAUGUUUUUUUUUCUGUCAAUGUGUCGUCCUGUUAUUCGCCUUAUUUUAAGUAUGGCAAUUACCUUCUUACGGUGCCAUUGUUGCCAGUUGCGAGCUUAAAAUGUUUGGUCUAUCCAUAGAGUUAGUAUUACUUAUUAACUCCAUGGGUCUAUCUCAUAGUAACUGUGAUGGUUACCGAUGACCAUAGAUGUACUAACACAGCUACAUUAGGACAUGAAACGAAUUCCAGAUUGUGUUACAAUAAUUUUUCAUUAAACAAUAUUAAGUUCG